rnacentral:rRNA from 1 species
GACGAACGCUGGCGGCGUGCUUAACACAUGCAAGUCGAACGGAAAGGCCCCUUUGGGGGUACUCGAGUGGCGAACGGGUGAGUAACACGUGAGUAACCUGCCCUUGACUUCGGGAUAACUUCAGGAAACUGGGGCUAAUACCGGAUAGGAAUCCUUGCUGCAUGGUGGGGGUUGGAAAGCUUCGGCGGUUUUGGAUGGACUCGCGGCUUAUCAGCUUGUUGGUGGGGUAGUGGCUUACCAAGGCUUUGACGGGUAGCCGGCCUGAGAGGGCGACCGGCCACAUUGGGACUGAGAUACGGCCCAGACUCCUACGGGAGGCAGCAGUGGGGAAUAUUGCACAAUGGGCGGAAGCCUGAUGCAGCAACACCGCGUGCGGGAUGACGGCCUUCGGGUUGUAAACCGCUUUCAGCAGGGGCGAAGCUUGUGGUGACGGUACCUGCAGAAGAAGCACCGGCUAACUACGUG